rfam:Glycine soja cultivar W05 scaffold3442_11, whole genome shotgun sequence.
AGAUGCAUUACAGGGCAAGUUCUCCUUUGACAGUUUACUAUACUAUGCUAUGCUAUAUUAAUUAAUUAUAUAUGCAGUUAUGCAUACUCUGCAACCUGCCAAAGAAGAUUUGCCCAGCGAUUCUCCU